rnacentral:rRNA from 1 species
GUGGGGAAUAUUGCACAAUGGGCGCAAGCCUGAUGCAGCGACGCCGCGUGAGGGAUGGAGGCCUUCGGGUUGUAAACCUCUUUCAGCAGGGAAGAAGCGAGAGUGACGGUACCUGCAGAAGAAGCGCCGGCUAACUACGUGCCAGCAGCCGCGGUAAUACGUAGGGCGCAAGCGUUGUCCGGAAUUAUUGGGCGUAAAGAGCUCGUAGGCGGUCUGUCGCGUCUGCUGUGAAAACCUCAGGCUCAACCUGGGGCUUGCAGUGGGUACGGGCUGACUGGAGUGCGGUAGGGGUGACUGGAAUUCCUGGUGUAGCGGUGGAAUGCGCAGAUAUCAGGAGGAACACCGAUGGCGAAGGCAGGUCACUGGGCCGCAACUGACGCUGAGGAGCGAAAGCAUGGGGAGCGAACAGG